AGAGUUUGAUCCUGGCUCAGGAUGAACGCUGGCGGCGUGCCUAAUACAUGCAAGUCGAGCGAACCACUUCGGUGGGAAGCGGCGAACGGGUGAGUAACACGUAGGUAAUCUGCCCAUCAGACGGGGACAACGAUUGGAAACGAUCGCUAAUACCGGAUAGGACGAAAGUUUAAAGAUGCUCCUGGCAUCACUGAUGGAUGAGCCUGCGGCGCAUUAGCUAGUUGGUGGGGUAAAGGCCUACCAAGGCGACGAUGCGUAGCCGACCUGAGAGGGUGAACGGCCACACUGGGACUGAGACACGGCCCAGACUCCUACGGGAGGCAGCAGUAGGGAAUCUUCGGCAAUGGGCGAAAGCCUGACCGAGCAACGCCGCGUGAAUGAAGAAGGCCUUCGGGUUGCAAAAUUCUGUUAUAAGGGAAGAAAGGUGAUAGGAGGAAAUGACUAUCAAUUGACGGUACCUUAUGAGAAAGCCACGGCUAACUACGUG
rnacentral:rRNA from 1 species